AUUGAACGCUGGCGGCAUGCUUUACACAUGCAAGUCGAACGGCAGCGCGGGCUUCGGCCUGGCGGCGAGUGGCGAACGGGUGAGUAAUACAUCGGAACGUGCCCAGUAGUGGGGGAUAGCUCGGCGAAAGCCGGAUUAAUACCGCAUGCGACCUGAGGGUGAAAGCGGGGGAUCUUCGGACCUCGCGCUAUUGGAGCGGCCGAUGGCAGAUUAGCUAGUUGGUGGGGUAAAGGCCUACCAAGGCGACGAUCUGUAGCUGGUCUGAGAGGACGACCAGCCACACUGGGACUGAGACACGGCCCAGACUCCUACGGGAGGCAGCAGUGGGGAAUUUUGGACAAUGGGCGAAAGCCUGAUCCAGCAAUGCCGCGUGUGUGAUGAAGGCCUUCGGGUUGUAAAGCACCUUUGGCGGGAACGAAAAGGACUGUGCCAAUACCACGGUUCGAUGACGGUACCCGCAGAAUAAGCACCGGCUAACUACGUG
rnacentral:rRNA from 1 species